rnacentral:rRNA from 1 species
CUGUGAGCUCGAUGAGUAGGGCGGGACACGUGGUAUCCUGUCUGAAUAUGGGGGGACCAUCCUCCAAGGCUAAAUACUCCUGACUGACCGAUAGUGAACCAGUACCGUGAGGGAAAGGCGAAAAGAACCCCGGCGAGGGGAGUGAAAAAGAACCUGAAACCGUGUACGUACAAGCAGUGGGAGCCUCUUAAUGGGGUGACUGCGUACCUUUUGUAUAAUGGGUCAGCGACUUAUAUUCUGUAGCAAGGUUAACCGAAUAGGGGAGCCGAAGGGAAACCGAGUCUUAACUGGGCGUUAAGUUGCAGGGUAUAGACCCGAAACCCGGUGAUCUAGCCAUGGGCAGGUUGAAGGUUGGGUAACACUAACUGGAGGACCGAACCGACUAAUGUUGAAAAAUUAGCGGAUGACUUGUGGCUGGGGGUGAAAGGCCAAUCAAACCGGGAGAUAGCUGGUUCUCCCCGAAAGCUAUUUAGGUAGCGCCUCGUGAAUUCAUCUCCGGGGGUAGAGCACUGUUUCGGCAAGGGGGUCAUCCCGACUUACCAACCCGAUGCAAACUGCGAAUACCGGAGAAUGUUAUCACGGGAGACACACGGCGGGUGCUAACGUCCGUCGUGAAGAGGGAAACAACCCAGACCGCCAGCUAAGGUCCCAAAGUCAUGGUUAAGUGGGAAACGAUGUGGGAAGGCCCAGACAGCCAGGAUGUUGGCUUAGAAGCAGCCAUCAUUUAAAGAAAGCGUAAUAGCUCACUGGUCGAGUCGGCCUGCGCGGAAGAUGUAACGGGGCUAAACCAUGCACCGAAGCUGCGGCAGCGACGCUUAUGCGUUGUUGGGUAGGGGAGCGUUCUGUAAGCCUGUGAAGGUGUACUGUGAGGUAUGCUGGAGGUAUCAGAAGUGCGAAUGCUGACAUAAGUAACGAUAAAGCGGGUGAAAAGCCCGCUCGCCGGAAGACCAAGGGUUCCUGUCCAACGUUAAUCGGGGCAGGGUGAGUCGACCCCUAAGGCGAGGCCGAAAGGCGUAGUCGAUGGGAAACAGGUUAAUAUUCCUGUACUUGGUGUUACUGCGAAGGGGGGACGGAGAAGGCUAUGUUGGCCGGGCGACGGUUGUCCCGGUUUAAGCGUGUAGGCUGAUUUUCCAGGCAAAUCCGGAAAACUAAGGCUGAGGCGUGAUGACGAGGCACUACGGUGCUGAAGCAACAAAUGCCCUG